rnacentral:rRNA from 1 species
AUUGAACGCUGGCGGCAGGCCUAACACAUGCCAGUCGAACGGUAACAGGAAGAAGCUUGCUUCUUUGCUGACGAGUGGCGGACGGGUGAGUAAUGUCUGGGAAACUGCCUGAUGGAGGGGGAUAACUACUGGAAACGGUAGCUAAUACCGCAUAACGUCGCAAGACCAAAGAGGGGGACCUUCGGGCCUCUUGCCAUCGGAUGUGCCCAGAUGGGAUUAGCUAGUAGGUGGGGUAACGGCUCACCUAGGCGACGAUCCCUAGCUGGUCUGAGAGGAUGACCAGCCACACUGGAACUGAGACACGGUCCAGACUCCUACGGUAGGCAGCAGUGGGGAAUAUUGCACAAUGGGCGCAAGCCUGAUGCAGCCAUGCCGCGUGUAUGAAGAAGGCCUUCGGGUUGUAAAGUACUUUCAGCGGGGAGGAAGGGAGUAAAGUUAAUACCUUUGCUCAUUGACGUUACCCGCAGAAGAAGCACCGGCUAACUCCGUG